GUUUCUUUGUGUGGUGAAACUUCUCGUCAGCCAAGCCCCUUUUCCGCUGGUCCAAGAAACACACCAACAUCUGCCUUUUGUCUGCAAUGGGAGUUCACUUCCGGGAACCUGAACCUGUUCAACUUUCCUGUUUGAGUUUACACCACGCUGGAGGAACCCUGGCAAAACGGGCAAACAAGUCUGAAUGAAAAGAGUCAGAUGACAGGCCACGGUCAAGCCGGACACAGUUCAGCGGUGCCAUUUCCGGUCGUCGCUAUCAACGUAAAACCGAUCUCAUGAGCGGCUUUAUUUGAGUAACAGGCGACCUGUGGAAUAUUUAUUGAAAUGUUUGCCUUUCGCUGUGUAUUUGUGGCAUUUGCGAUAGAAUAAUAAAGCAUCAUAUUCUUCUUA